AAAAAAAAUAAAAAAAAAAAUAUAUAAAAAUAAAAAUAAUAAAAAAAGAGUUCUGCUCUGUCACGUUCCUGACUACAUAUUAACUAAGAGAAGUGUCCAUCAAGUAUGAGAACCAUUUUAUAGGUCUGAGUGUUUGUAAUACCAGAUAAAAUCAUACUGACACUUAUGAAAGGGAUCCAAUUUUUACUAAUGAAAACAAAAUGAGACAGUGGAAAAUAAAAAACAAAUUAAGCUGAAGUGAUACCCUAAGAUAAAAUAUGAAAAAUAGAAAAAGAUAUACAUUACUGAUAUAGCACAAACCUCAAAGGUCUUGACUUUCAUAAACAUUUUCCUAAAGAAAUGAAUAAUGCAUGAAAAAAAAAAAGCAUACAUCCAC
rnacentral:misc_RNA from 1 species